CGUCUUCCUCGGAGGGUGUCUGUUGGGGGAGUCCUGAACUUGUCCUAAGCUGUCGUCUGCUUUCGGCACAUUUUUAACUCUAUGAAGUCGGAGGCCUUUCCUCUGCUUUGGUAACAUGAGGUUUUUCUUGUGGAAUGCGAACUUGACACUGUGGGUCACGGUUUUGAGUGGAGCUCUGAUCCCCGAGCCAGAAGUGAAGAUCGAAGUUCUUCAGAAACCAUUCAUCUGCCAUCGCAAGACCAAGGGAGGGGAUCUGAUGUUGGUCCACUACGAAGGCUAUUUAGAAAAGGAUGGCUCCCUGUUUCAUUCCACGUAAGUAAUUUUGCCUCGCAGGCAGAAUGAUAAAGGACCCACCCAUUCGCACCAGCCCUCCUACUGUGAAGCUGACAGUUCUUUACUUCUACAAACUGAAACAAAAAACUGAAAUACUUGCUUCCCUUUGGAGAAAAAACAUUGUCGAAAGACAGUUCUAUAGGUCAAAACCUUGAAAGGACUUCCUGGAAACAUGUAGUCUUGAUAAAUUAAUUUCCUUAUCAUUUUAUUUUUUAAAAUUAUAUCUAGAGUAGUUGAGGUUUUACAGAGAUACUUACUUAGGUUAAGCAGUAAGUAGAAAAGGCUUAAUAGAAUUUUCUGUCUUAAACUCCAUUCUGUAGGUAAAAUAUCUGAUUCCCCUUUUAAUUGCACAUAAAAGAUAUUAAAAUGUGUCAUUUUUCUUCAAAAGCAAAAUGCACAAUCUAUUUGCCUGCUUCUAAAAGAUAUACAAAUACUGUUUCAAGCGACCAGUUGAACUUUCUGGAAGGUGGCAUUUUGGUCAAAGCACAUGAUGACAGAAAGUCAUUGCUUCUAGAAAGUCAGGCUUCAUCCAUGGCAUAGAUGUGGUUAUAGAAGAGUAGAAGGAUUUCCGGGUGGUUUACACUAGCAUUUCUUUUUUUUAUAAACAAAGAAAUUAAGCAGAUAAUAUUAACAAGUAUAAUGAUUUUCAUUCAGAAAGUAUUUAAGCAGCUCUUCCUCAGGGUUGGUCAGAAAGUUCACUUUCUAGUAUCUGCAUCCAUCCAUU
rnacentral:lncRNA from 1 species